rnacentral:rRNA from 1 species
ACUCAAAUGAAUAGACGGGGGCCCGCACAAGCAGUGGAGCAUGUGGUUUAAUUCGAUGCAACGCGAAGAACCUUACCUGGGCUCGAAAUGUAGAGGACGGCAACAGAAAUGAUGCUUCCCGUAAGGGUCUCUAUAUAGGUGCUGCAUGGCUGUCGUCAGCUCGUGCCGUGAGGUGUUUGGUUAAGUCCAGCAACGAGCGCAACCCUUAUCGUUAGUUGCCAGCGCGUAAUGGCGGGAACUCUAACGAGACUGCCUAGGUUAACUAGGAGGAAGGUGAGGAUGACGUCAAGUCCGCAUGGCCUUUAUGUCCAGGGCUACACACGUGCUACAAUGGUCGGUACAGAAGGCUGCGAAACCGUAAGGCGAAGCAAAUCCUGCAAAACCGAUCUCAGUUCAGAUUGUGGUCUGCAACUCGACCACAUGAAGUUGGAAUUGCUAGUAAUGGCGUGUCAGCAACAACGCCGUGAAUACGUUCCCGGGCCUUGUACACACCGCCCGU